GCUUUGAUAACUCAAAGGUAGAGUGGCAGAUUGAAACUCUGUAAGUAUUGGUUCAAUUCCAGUUCAAGGCA
rfam:Conidiobolus coronatus NRRL 28638 unplaced genomic scaffold CONCOscaffold_420, whole genome shotgun sequence.